rnacentral:lncRNA from 1 species
UUCUUUUUACUGUUUUGAUCUCAUCCCCUUCACGUCCAGUAUAAAGAAAUAGAUAAUUCAGAUCCCUCAUCAUUAUCCUUCCAUCGUGAACAUCAAUAAACAUCUUUGAUGUUGCCAUGAAGGGUCGCCCCAAAAUUACAGGGUACUCUUCUUCUGUUUUAACAUCCAUGACAAUGAAAUAUGCUAAAAACUCAAGACAAUCUGCUCGCACAACAACAUUUUCCACCAUUCCCACUGGCACUUUUUUAGAACCAUCUGCCAUUGUUAUAGUCACGUCAGAGGGUUUCAACACAAGCCCUCCAAUUUCCCUCAAAAGUGUCGUGGGUAUUAAAUUGAUGCUAGAUCUAGAAUCUAUC